CAUGUUAAUUAGAUUAAUUUUUGGUACAUGAGAUGUAUGCAAAGCAUGUAUUAGUUAGAUCUUAAAUUGUAUAUGUGAUAUGUUAAUUUAGAUCUAACUAGUUUUGUAGUUAAAUUUAUAUUUCUGGUUAAGGUAUUCCUCAUGGCCGUCUGGUCAUAAGAAUGAAGUAGAAUUUAAAGGCCCUCUCCUCCCAUUCAAUGGGGCAUUCAUAUGACGUG
rnacentral:lncRNA from 1 species